AAUAGAUACCCUGGUAGUCCACGCCGUAAACGGUGGGCACUAGGUGUGGGCAACAUUCCACGUUGUCCGUGCCGCAGCUAACGCAUUAAGUGCCCCGCCUGGGGAGUACGGCCGCAAGGCUAAAACUCAAAGGAAUUGACGGGGGGCCCGCACAAGCGGCGGAGCAUGUGGCUUAAUUCGACGCAACGCGAAGAACCUUACCAAGGCUUGACAUACACCGGAAACAUCCAGAGAUGGGUGCCCCCUUGUGGUCGGUGUACAGGUGGUGCAUGGCUGUCGUCAGCUCGUGUCGUGAGAUGUUGGGUUAAGUCCCGCAACGAGCGCAACCCUUGUCCCGUGUUGCCAGCAGGCCCUUGUGGUGCUGGGGACUCACGGGAGACCGCCGGGGUCAACUCGGAGGAAGGUGGGGACGACGUCAAGUCAUCAUGCCCCUUAUGUCUUGGGCUGCACACGUGCUACAAUGGCCGGUACAAUGAGCUGCGAUACCGCGAGGUGGAGCGAAUCUCAAAAAGCCGGUCUCAGUUCGGA
rnacentral:rRNA from 1 species